AAACGAUUGAAGUCAGUCGUGUCCAGUGGGCUCAGCCGGUUCUGCCGGUGUAUUCCCUCUGGACGGGUCAACAUCAGUUUUGACCGGCGGAUAAAGGCGGGAGGAAAGUGGCACCUCCGGGUGUGUUAUAGCCUCCUGUCGCAUACGUCGGUCGAGACUGAGGAAUGCAGCUCGCCUUUUGGCCGGGGUUCGCCCACGUUCGAGCUUAGGAUGUUGACAUAAUGGCUUUAAACGA
rnacentral:rRNA from 1 species